GACGAACGCUGGCGGCGUGCUUAACACAUGCAAGUCGAACGGAAAGGCCCUGCUUUUGUGGGGUGCUCGAGUGGCGAACGGGUGAGUAACACGUGAGUAACCUGCCCUUGACUGUGGGAUAACUUCAGGAAACUGGGGCUAAUACCGGAUAGGAGCUCCUGCUGCAUGGUGGGGGUUGGAAAGUUUCGGCGGUUGGGGAUGGACUCGCGGCUUAUCAGCUUGUUGGUGGGGUAGUGGCUUACCAAGGCUUUGACGGGUAGCCGGGCUGAGAGGGUGACCGGCCACAUUGGGACUGAGAUACGGCACAGACUCCUACGGGAGGCAGCAGUGCGGAAUAGUGCACAAUGGGCGGAAGCCUGAUGCAGCCACGCCGCGUGCGGGAUGACGGCCUUCGGGUUGUAUACCGCUUUCGCCUGUGACGAAGCGUGAGUGACGGUAAUGGGUAAAGAAGCUCCGGCUAACUACGUG
rnacentral:rRNA from 1 species